GCCUGAUGCAGCGACGCCGCGUGAGGGAUGACGGCCUUCGGGUUGUAAACCUCUUUCAGUAGGGACGAAGCGCAAGUGACGGUACCUAUAGAAGAAGGACCGGCCAACUACGUGCCAGCAGCCGCGGUAAUACGUAGGGUCCGAGCGUUGUCCGGAAUUACUGGGCGUAAAGAGCUCGUAGGUGGUUUGUCGCGUUGUUCGUGAAAACUCACAGCUCAACUGUGGGCGUGCGGGCGAUACGGGCAGACUAGAGUACUGCAGGGGAGACUGGAAUUCCUGGUGUAGCGGUGGAAUGCGCAGAUAUCAGGAGGAACACCGGUGGCGAAGGCGGGUCUCUGGGCAGUAACUGACGCUGAGGAGCGAAAGCGUGGGGAGCGAACAGGAUUAGAUACCCUGGUAGUCCACGCCGUAAACGGUGGGUACUAGGUGUGGGUUUCCUUCCUUGGGAUCCGUGCCGUAGCUAACGCAUUAAGUACCCCGCCUGGGGAGUACGGCCGCAAGGCUAAAACUCAAAGAAAUUGACGGGGGCCCGCACAAGCGGCGGAGCAUGUGGAUUAAUUCGAUGCAACGCGAAGAACCUUACCUGGGUUUGACAUGCACAGGACGUGCCUAGAGAUAGGUAUUCCCUUGUGGUCUG
rnacentral:rRNA from 1 species